GACGAACGCUGGCGGCGUGCCUAACACAUGCAAGUCGAACGGUGAAGCGCCUUCCUUUUUGGUGGGUGUGGAGGAGCGGCGAACGGGGUAGCAACACGUUAGUAACCUGCUCCCUCCUUGUGGAUAACGGCAUGAAAGUGCGGCUAAUACGGGAUAUAUUGGACCUGUUGCAUGAUGGGUCUGGGAAAGAUUUUGUUUCGGUGGUGGAUGGGCUCGCGGCGUAUUAGCUUGUUGGUGGGGUAACGGCGUACCAAGGCGGCGAUGCGUAGCCGGCCUGAGAGGGGGAUCGGCGAUAAUGGAAGUGAGAAGAGGCGGAGAAGCCUCCGGGAGGCAGCAGCAGUGAAGAAUAUUGAACGAUCGGAGGCAGGAUGGUGCAACGCCGCGGGGUGGAGGAUGGAGGCCGGCGCGUAGAGAUCCUCUUUCGGGAGUGAAGCAGGGCUGACUCGUUUGUGGAUGGGUUGACGGUAGCUAAAUAAGAAGCGCCGGCUAACUACGUG
rnacentral:rRNA from 1 species